AUACGUAGGGGGCGAGCGUUGUCCGGAAUGAUUGGGCGUAAAGGGCGCGUAGGCGGCGCGGUAAGUCUGGAGUGAAAGUCCUGCUUUCAAGGUGGGAAUUGCUUUGGAUACUGCCGCGCUUGAGUGCAGGAGAGGUUAUCGGAAUUCCCGGUGUAGCGGUGAAAUGCGUAGAGAUCGGGAGGAACACCAGUGGCGAAGGCGGGUAACUGGACUGCAACUGACGCUGAGGCGCGAAAGUGUGGGGAGCAAACAGGAUUAGAUACCCUGGUAGUCCACACUGUAAACGAUGAAUGCUAGGUGUAAGAGGUAUCGACCCCUUUUAUGCCGGAGUCAACACAAUAAGCAUUCCGCCUGGGGAGUACGGCCGCAAGGUUGAAACUCAAAGGAAUUGACGGGG
rnacentral:rRNA from 1 species